rnacentral:rRNA from 1 species
AUUGAACGCUGGCGGCAGGCCUAACACAUGCAAGUCGAGCGGUAGCACAGAGAGCUUGCUCUCGGGUGACGAGCGGCGGACGGGUGAGUAAUGUCUGGGAAACUGCCUGAUGGAGGGGGAUAACUACUGGAAACGGUAGCUAAUACCGCAUAACGUCGCAAGACCAAAGUGGGGGACCUUCGGGCCUCAUGCCAUCAGAUGUGCCCAGAUGGGAUUAGCUAGUAGGUGGGGUAACGGCUCACCUAGGCGACGAUCCCUAGCUGGUCUGAGAGGAUGACCAGCCACACUGGAACUGAGACACGGUCCAGACUCCUACGGGAGGCAGCAGUGGGGAAUAUUGCACAAUGGGCGCAAGCCUGAUGCAGCCAUGCCGCGUGUGUGAAGAAGGCCUUCGGGUUGUAAAGCACUUUCAGCGGGGAGGAAGGCGGUGAGGUUAAUAACCUUGUCGAUUGACGUUACCCGCAGAAGAAGCACCGGCUAACUCCGUGCCAGCCGCCGCAGUAAUAC